rnacentral:rRNA from 1 species
UACGUAGGGGGCUAGCGUUGUCCGGAAUCAUUGGGCGUAAAGAGCGUGUAGGCGGCCCGGUAAGUCCGCUGUGAAAGUCGGGGGCUCAACCCUCGAAUGCCGGUGGAUACUGUCGGGCUAGAGUGCGGAAGAGGCGAGUGGAAUUCCUGGUGUAGCGGUGAAAUGCGCAGAUAUCAGGAGGAACACCAAUUGCGAAGUCAGCUCGCUGGGACGUAACUGACGCUGAGACGCGAAAGCGUGGGGAGCAAACAGG